rnacentral:rRNA from 1 species
UAGUAAUCGCGCAUCAGCCACGGCGCGGUGAAUACGUUCCCGGGCCUUGUACACACCGCCCGUCAAGCCAUGGGAGCCGGGAGUGCCUGAAGUACGUGACCGCAAGGAGCGUCCUAGGGUAAGACCGGUGACUGGGGCUAAGUCGUAACAAGGUAUC